UACGGGGGGGGCAAGCGUUGUUCGGAAUUACUGGGCGUAAAGGGCUCGUAGGCGGCCAACUAAGUCAGACGUGAAAUCCCCAGGCUCAACCUGGGAACUGCGUCUGAUACUGGAUGGCUUGAGUUCGGGAGAGGGAUGCAGAAUUCCAGGUGUAGCGGUGAAAUGCGUAGAUAUCUGGAGGAAUACCGGUGGCGAAGGCGGCAUCCUGGACCGACAUUGACGCUGAUGAGCGAAAGCUAGGGGAGCAAACGGG
rnacentral:rRNA from 1 species